GGGCGUUAAGUUGCAGGGUAUAGACCCGAAACCCGGUGAUCUAGCCAUGGGCAGGUUGAAGGUUGGGUAACACUAACUGGAGGACCGAACCGACUAAUGUUGAAAAAUUAGCGGAUGACCUGUGGCUGGGGGUGAAAGGCCAAUCAAACCGGGAGAUAGCUGGUUCUCCCCGAAAGCUAUUUAGGUAGCGCCUCGUGAAUUCAUCUCCGGGGGUAGAGCACUGUUUCGGCUAGGGGGCCAUCCCGGCUUACCAACCCGAUGCAAACUGCGAAUACCGGAGAAUGUUAUCACGGGAGACACACGGCGGGUGCUAACGUCCGUCGUGAAGAGGGAAACAACCCAGACCGCCAGCUAAGGUCCCAAAGUCAUGGUUAAGUGGGAAACGAUGUGGGAAGGCCCAGACAGCCAGGAUGUUGGCUUAGAAGCAGCCAUCAUUUAAAGAAAGCGUAAUAGCUCACUGGUCGAGUCGGCCUGCGCGGAAGAUGUAACGGGGCUAAACCAUGCACCGAAGCUGCGGCAGCGAAUUCUAUUC
rnacentral:rRNA from 1 species